rnacentral:hammerhead_ribozyme from 1 species
AUCCAGCUGAAGAGUCCCGAAUAAGACUAAGCGAACGUUUUGGAU